GGAUUAGCUCAGCUGGGAGAGCAUCUGCCUUACAAGCAGAGGGUCGGCGGUUCGAUUCCAAGUUAAUUUCCA
rnacentral:tRNA from 1 species